rnacentral:lncRNA from 1 species
ACCCCUUCUAGUCACAGGGGGGCUCUGGGGCCUGCUAGGAUGUGCUCACCCGUCUUGUGGGAAAUUGCCCCAUGGGGUUGCAGUAACUGAAACAGAGAACACCAUAAUGGGCCCAUCAUAAGGAGCAUGGAGAGCUAUCACAAGGGGGUUUUAGUCCUGGCUCUGUGACUGUAGGUCCAUGGGAAAAUGGCCCUCCUUUUCUUUACCUGCUCAGUGGUCAGGGAGAAUAAUCCCUGCCCUGCCUUGCUAGGUUGUUGUGAGGCUCAGGUGAGAUAAAGAACCCAGAAACCCUUUGUGAAUUAUCAAGCACUGAACAAAUAAAGGAUUGUUCCUACUACUGAGUAAAGUACCUUGAGAAAUCAGCGGCCUACCCCUUUCAUCUGUAUGCGCUUUUCUGUCUAAUGACCCUCAUGUCAGUACAACGCUCUAAGCUUUGCAAAGUAAUUUUAUACACAUUGUGUCACUUGUUCUGACUCCAUCCCUGGGCAGUGGCUGUGCAGGACUGCCCCUUGCUGGGCAUAUCAGGGCACAGGCUCAGAGGGGUGAAGUCACCAGGAGGCCGGGGCACACUGUGGCCGAGCCAGGCCCGAGCUCAGGUUUCCUGACUCAGGCUCAGAGCGUGCUCCGAGCCCUGGGGCCACUCUGCUCCCAGCUCAGAACAGCUGUCGUUCCCUUUAGCUUCUAAACCCGCAGAGGGUACAAGCAGGAUCUUCCGAGGGGAUUGACGUCCCCACGGCAGUUAGCACGGCCUGUGGGUGGAGCUAUUGCCGAGAACGCUUGAGCCUUUGCCGGGAGCGUGCGUCGGACUUGGGUUUUGAAAGUCUACUUGCCGUGGCCUGUGCGAGUUUGUCCCAGCUCCUUUUUUGUCACUCCUCUGUGACAGCGCUCAGCCAGCAGGGAGGCCAGAGGUGCGCAUUUUGGACCACUUUGGAAUCCUUCCUCCAAACACCGUCUGGUGGCUCACUCUCACAGCUGUUUGUCUCCGUGUCCGGCUGAAACAUUGUUGCAGUUUGUGAAUCACACCAGGAAAACCGCCCCUGCCACAUUCCGGGAUGUGAAAGCCAGGACCUUGGCCUCACUGCUGAUUGGUGGUGGUGGACCAGGGGAAAGGGCACCAGGCAGGCAGUCUGGUGAUGCAGGAUUCUGUGCCCUGACCUACACACACCGGUCGGAUGAGGCAGAGUCGGGUGCUUUUCCAGUCAAGGUCAAUGCUAAAGCGGCCAGAGUCAGGUCUCCUGACUUCCACGGCAGGUACCUCCCGAGUUUGGUGACGAUGGUGAGCUUGGCUGACGUGCGUUGGGAGAAAUAUCUAGAAUUCAGGAGAGAGAGCAAGGCUAGAAUGUUAGUGGGCAAUACCUCCCACCACUUCCUUUCCCCAAGUGCCAGAGGGCUUGGAGGAGGCUGUUCUCACAACGUUUAAAAUAGUGUUUGGGGGCGCCUGGGUAGCUCAGUUGGUUAGAUGUCUGACUCUUGAUUUUGGCUCAGGACAUGAUCCCAGGGUUCUGGUACUGAGCCCCACAUCGGCCUCUGCACUGAGUGUGGAGCCUGCUUGGGAUUCUCUUUCUCUCUUUGCCUUUGCUCCUCUUCCCCAUUCGCACUCUCUCUCUCUGUAAAAUAAAAAUAAAUAAAUAAAUAAAAUAAAAAUUUAA